CAUAAUUAGCCACCCUGAAAUCCCUCUGUUCUCUCAAAUGCUCUCAAAUCUAACCUAAUCAAACCUCGCCAUCACUCAUCUAUGGUUAUCUAUGGUGAUUUCUCACCACCCCCAGGCCUCUAGUAGCUUCUGCCACGUUGGUAUUGCCAUCUACAAGGUCUUCAAGGGACCAAAGUUAGUUGGCUUGCAUCUAUGGCCCCUUUCUCGCCUAUUUCAGGCUGUUCCAGUGUGAUUCCUUGUAAGAUCGUCC
rnacentral:lncRNA from 1 species